GCCUGCCGCGUGUGUGAAGAAGGCCUUCGGGUUGUAAAGCACUUUCAGUCGUGAGGAAGGUGGUGUAGUUAAUAGCUGCAUUAUUUGACGUUAGCGACAGAAGAAGCACCGGCUAACUCCGUGCCAGCAGCCGCGGUAAUACGGAGGGUGCGAGCGUUAAUCGGAAUUACUGGGCGUAAAGCGCAUGCAGGUGGUUUGUUAAGUCAGAUGUGAAAGCCCGGGGCUCAACCUCGGAAUAGCAUUUGAAACUGGCAGACUAGAGUACUGUAGAGGGGGGUAGAAUUUCAGGUGUAGCGGUGAAAUGCGUAGAGAUCUGAAGGAAUACCGGUGGCGAAGGCGGCCCCCUGGACAGAUACUGACACUCAGAUGCGAAAGCGUGGGGAGCAAACAGGAUUAGAUACCCUGGUAGUCCACGCCGUAAACGAUGUCUACUUGGAGGUUGUGGCCUUGAGCCGUGGCUUUCGGAGCUAACGCGUUAAGUAGACCGCCUGGGGAGUACGGUCGCAAGAUUAAAACUCAAAUGAAUUGACGGGGGCCCGCACAAGCGGUGGAGCAUGUGGUUUAAUUCGAUGCAACGCGAAGAACCUUACCUACUCUUGACAUCCAGAGAACUUUCCAGAGAUGGAUUGGUGCCUUCGGGAACUCUGAGACAGGUGCUGCAUGGCUGUCGUCAGCUCGUGUUGUGAAAUGUUGGGUUAAGUCCCGCAACGAGCGCAACCCUUAUCCUUGUUUGCCAGCGAGUAAUGUCGGGAACUCCAGGGAGACUGCCGGUGAUAAACCGGAGGAAGGUGGGGACGACGUCAAGUCAUCAUGGCCCUUACGAGUAGGGCUACACACGUGCUACAAUGGCGCAUACAGAGGGCAGCAAGCUAGCGAUAGUGAGCGAAUCCCAAAAAGUGCGUCGUAGUCCGGAUUGGAGUCUGCAACUCGACUCCAUGAAGUCGGAAUCGCUAGUAAUCGUGGAUCAGAAUGCCACGGUGAAUACGUUCCCGGGCCUUGUACACACCGCCCGUCACACCAUGGGAGUGGGCUGCAAAAGAAGUAGGUAGUUUAACCUUCGGGAGGACGCUUACCACUUUGUGGUUCAUGACUGGGGUGAACGU
rnacentral:rRNA from 1 species